CUACGGGGGGCUGCAGUGGGGAAUAUUGCACAAUGGAGGAAACUCUGAUGCAGCAACGCCGCGUGGAGGAUGACACUUUUCGGAGCGUAAACUCCUUUUAUAUAGGAAGAAGAUGACGGUACUAUAUGAAUAAGCGCCGGCUAACUCCGUGCCAGCAGCCGCGGUGAAUACGGAGGGCGCAAGCGUUACUCGGAAUCACUGGGCGUAAAGAGCGUGUAGGCGGAUUAAAAAGUCAGAAGUGAAAUCCUAUAGCUUAACUAUAGAACUGCUUCUGAAACUCUUAAUCUAGAAUAUGGGAGAGGUAGAUGGAAUUUCUGGUGUAGGGGUAAAAUCCGUAGAGGUCAGAAGGAAUACCGAUUGCGAAGGCGAUCUACUAGAACAUUAUUGACGCUGAGACGCGAAAGCGUGGGGAGCAAACAGGAUUAGAUACCCUAGUAGUC
rnacentral:rRNA from 1 species